rnacentral:rRNA from 1 species
GAUGAACGCUGGCGGCGUGCUUAACACAUGCAAGUCGAACGAACGGAGGAGUGCUUGCACUCCAAAGUUAGUGGCGGACGGGUGAGUAACGCGUGGGUAACCUGCCCUAUGCAGGGGGAUAACGUUUGGAAACGAACGCUAAUACCGCAUAAACUAUCGGUAGUCGCAUGACUACUAUAGCAAAGAAUUUUCGGCAUAGGAUGGACCCGCGUUGGAUUAGCUAGUUGGUGAGAUAACAGCCCACCAAGGCGACGAUCCAUAGCCGGCCUGAGAGGGUGAACGGCCACAUUGGGACUGAGACACGGCCCAAACUCCUGCGGGAGGCAGCAGUGGGGAAUAUUGCACAAUGGGCGAAAGCCUGAUGCAGCAACGCCGCGUGAAGGAUGAAGGUCUUCGGAUUGUAAACUUCUAUCAGCAGGGAAGAAUAAAUGACGGUACCUGACUAAGAAGCUCCGGCUAACUACGUGCCAGCCGCCGCGGUAACAC